rnacentral:rRNA from 1 species
UCCGUAGGUGAACCUGCGGAGGGAUCAUUACAGAGUUGAAAAACUCCAACCCCUGUGAACCUUACCUCUUUGUUGCUUCGGCGUGCCCUCUGGACGCCGCAGGUCCGCCCCUCACCGGGUGGCCGCGGCGCCCGGCGGUCGGCACGCCGGAGGUUCCAAACUCUGAAUUUAUAGUGUAUCUCUGAGAUUAAAAACAAAUAAUCAAAACUUUCAACAACGGAUCUCUUGGUUCUGGCAUCGAUGAAGAACGCAGCGAAAUGCGAUAAGUAAUGUGAAUUGCAGAAUUCAGUGAAUCAUCGAAUCUUUGAACGCACAUUGCGCCCGCCGGUAUUCCGGCGGGCAUGCCUGUUCGAGCGUCAUUUCACCACUCAAGCCCAGCUUGGUGUUGGGGCACCCGGCCGCCCAGCGGCCCCGGGGCCCCCAAGUCCAUCGGCGGGCUCGUCGGGACCCUGAGCGCAGUAACACGCGGUAAAACGCGCCCUCGCUCGGCGGAUCCAGUCGGGUUCCAGCCGCUAAACCCCCCUAAACUUCUUAGGUUGACCUCGGAUCAGGUAGGAAUACCCGCUGAACUUAAGCAUAUCAAUAAGCGGAGGA